rnacentral:rRNA from 1 species
UACGUAGGUGGCAAGCGUUGUCCGGAAUUAUUGGGCGUAAAGCGCGCGCAGGCGGCCUUUUAAGUCUGAUGUGAAAGCCCACGGCUCAACCGUGGAAGGUCAUUGGAAACUGAAAGGCUUGAGUACAGAAGAGGAAAGCGGAAUUCCACGUGUAGCGGUGAAAUGCGUAGAGAUGCGGAGGAACACCAGUGGCGAAGGCGGCUUUCUGGUCUGUAACUGACGCUGAGGCGCGAAAGCCAGGGGAGCAAACGGG